AGAGACAGUGAAAAAGGAGAAUUUGGAGGUUUUGGUUUGGCUAGUGGAAAAGUUGAAAUAGAAAUCAAAAUCAACCAUGAAGGAGAAGUAAACAGGGCCAGUCAUAUGCCCCAGAACCCUUGCAUCAUUGCAACAAAGACUCCAUCCAGCGAUGUUCUUGUUUUUGACUAUACAAAACAUCCUUCUAAACCAGACCCUUCUGGAGAGCGCAACCCAGAUUUAUGUCUUCGUGGACAUCAGAAGGAAGGCUAUGGACUUUCUUGGAACCCACAUCUCAGUGGGCACUUACUUAGUGCUUCAGAUGACCAUACCAUCUGCCUAUGGGACAGCAGUGCCGUUCCAAAGAAAGGAAAAGUAGUGAAUGUGAAGACCAACUUUACAGGGCAUACAACAGUUGAAGAAGAUGUUUCCUGGCAUCUUCUCCAUGAGACUCUGUUUGGGUCAGUUGUUGAUGAUCAGAAGCUUAUGAUUAGGGAUACUCGUUCAAACAAUACUUCCAAACCAAGCCACUCAGUUGAUGUUCACACUGCUGAAGUGAAGUGCCUCUCUUUCAAUCCCUAUAGUGAGUUCAUUGUUGCCACGGGAUCAGCUGACAAGACUGUUGCCUUGUAGGAUCUGAGAUAUCUGAAACUUAAGUUGUAUUCCUUUGAAUCACAUAAGGAUGAAAUAUUCCAGGUUCAGUGGUCACCUCACAAUGAGACUAUUUUGGCUUCCAGUGGUACAGAUUGCAGACUGAAUGUCUGGGAUUUAAGUAAAAUUGAAGAAGAACAAUCCCCAGAAGAUGCAGAAGAUGGACCACCAGAGUUAUUGUUUAUUCGUGGUGGCCACACUGCCAAGAUAUCUGAUUUCUCCUGGAAUCCCAACGAACCUUGGGUGAUUUGCUCUGUAUCAGAAGACAAUAUCACGCAAGUGUGGCAGAUGGCAGAAAAUAUUUAUAAUGAUGAAGACCCUAAAGGUAGUGUGGAUCCAGAAGGACAAGAGUCCUAGACAUGUCUGUAAUUCUUGUGAUUCUAGACUCCCCUCCCCUUUUUUUCCUCUCUACCCUGAGAUUGACUUAACACUGGUUUUGAGACAUCGACUUUGUUUGGCUAUCCCACCAUAUAGGUACCACCAACAAUGCUAUUAAACCAACAGUGGGUAUUUUCUAAAUAUUAACUGGGGGACUUGAUUCAGCAAUGCCACAGAUUUACAUUUCAAUUUUCUUCAGGAAUUUUAUAGUAACAAACCAGGUCUAAAAUAGCUACAGAAAGGGGAGUAUUAUGUGGAUUAUUUUUCUUCUUAUUCUGUAUCCCCAUGUUUUUCAGAAUCAUUUAAGUAAAGGCUAGAGUGAGUAAAGAAUAGAGCCAACUGAGGUAGGUCUCGAGUCAUGAAGUAUAAAUAAAUACUGCAAGAUGUCAUUUUUAUUCAGGAA